rnacentral:rRNA from 1 species
GACGAACGCUGGCGGCGUGCCUAAUACAUGCAAGUCGAACGCAGUGGGGACGGGUGAGUAACACGUGGGUAACCUCCCAUCAGAGGGGAUAACACUUGGAAACAGGUGCUAAACCGAUACUGAUGGAUGGACCCGCGGUGCAUUAGCUCGUUGGUGGGGUAACCGCCUACCAAGGCAAUGAUGCAUAGCCGACCUGCGAGGGUAAUCGGCCCCAUUGGGACUUAGACACGACCCACACUCCUACGGGAGGCAGCAGUAGGGAAUCUUCCGCAAUUGGCGCAAGCCUGACGGAGCAACGCCGCGUGAGUGAAGAAGGUUUUCGGAUCGUAAAGCUCUGUUGUAAGAGAAGCGGUAUCUUACCAGAAAGCCACGGCUAACUACGUGCCAGCAGCCGCGGUAAUAC